rnacentral:rRNA from 1 species
GACGAACGCUGGCGGCGUGCCUAAUACAUGCAAGUUGAGCGCUGAAGGUUGGUACUUGUACCAACUGGAUGAGCAGCGAACGGGUGAGUAACGCGUGGGGAAUCUGCCUUUGAGCGGGGGACAACAUUUGGAAACGAAUGCUAAUACCGCAUAAAAACUUUAAACACAAGUUUUAAGUUUGAAAGGUGCAAUUGCAUCACUCAAAGAUGAUCCCGCGUUGUAUUAGCUAGUUGGUGAGGUAAGGGCUCACCAAGGCGAUGAUACAUAGCCGACCUGAGAGGGUGAUCGGCCACAUUGGGACUGAGACACGGCCCAAACUCCUACGGGAGGCAGCAGUAGGGAAUCUUCGGCAAUGGACGAAAGUCUGACCGAGCAACGCCGCGUGAGUGAAGAAGGUUUUCGGAUCGUAAAACUCUGUUGGUAGAGAAGAACGUUGGUGAGAGUGGAAAGCUCAUCAAGUGACGGUAACUACCCAGAAAGGGACGGCUAACUACGUG